UUACACUAGACUGAUGAGUUGCGAACGGGUGAGUAACGCGUAGGUAACCUGCCUCAUAGCGGGGGAUAACUAUUGGAAACGAUAGCUAAUACCGCAUAAGAGUGAUUAACACAUGUUAGUUAUUUAAAAGGAGCAAUUGCUUCACUGUGAGAUGGACCUGCGUUGUAUUAGCUAGUUGGUGAGGUAAAGGCUCACCAAGGCGACGAUACAUAGCCGACCUGAGAGGGUGAUCGGCCACACUGGGACUGAGACACGGCCCAGACUCCUACGGGAGGCAGCAGUAGGGAAUCUUCGGCAAUGGACGGAAGUCUGACCGAGCAACGCCGCGUGAGUGAAGAAGGUUUUCGGAUCGUAAAGCUCUGUUGUUAGAGAAGAACGUUGGUAGGAGUGGAAAAUCUACCAAGUGACGGUAACUAACCAGAAAGGGACGGCUAACUACGUGCCAGCAGCCGCGGUAAUACGUAGGUCCCGAGCGUUGUCCGGAUUUAUUGGGCGUAAAGCGAGCGCAGGCGGUUCUUUAAGUCUGAAGUUAAAGGCAGUGGCUUAACCAUUGUACGCUUUGGAAACUGGAGGCACUUGAGUGCAUGAAGGGGAGAGUGGUAAUUCCUAUGUGUUACUGGUGAAUAUG
rnacentral:rRNA from 1 species